UACGGAGGAUGCAAGCGUUAUCCGGAUUGAUUGGGCGUAAAGCGUCCGCAGGUGGCUAUGUAAGUCUGCUGUCAAAGCGUCUGGCUCAACCAGAUAAAGGCAGUGGAAACUACAUAGCUAGAGUAAGGUAGGGGUAGAGGGAAUUCCCGGUGUAGCGGUGAAAUGCGUAGAGAUCGGGAAGAACAUCGGUGGCGAAAGCGCUCUACUGGACCGCAACUGACACUCAGGGACGAAAGCGAGGGGAGCGAAUGGG
rnacentral:rRNA from 1 species